GACGGAGGAUGCAAGCGUUGUCCGGAAUUAUUGGGCGUAAAGAGCUCGUAGGCGGUCUGUCGCGUCGGAUGUGAAAACCCAGGGCUCAACCCUGGGCCUGCAUUCGAUACGGGCAGACUAGAGUUCGGUAGGGGAGACUGGAAUUCCUGGUGUAGCGGUGAAAUGCGCAGAUAUCAGGAGGAACACCGGUGGCGAAGGCGGGUCUCUGGGCCGAUACUGACGCUGAGGAGCGAAAGCGUGGGGAGCGAACAGG
rnacentral:rRNA from 1 species